rnacentral:tRNA from 1 species
UGCUCGAAACGCACAACGGUGUGCGGCCGGACUGUUAAUCCGUGUGAGGGUGGUUCGAUCCCACCUCGGGCAGCCA